UUGUAUGGGAACGAAAUUGCGUGUGAAGAUACAAGGACCAAAGACUCUAGUAACAAUAUUUAGACUUAAGCAUUUUAUGUCAGUAAUUUAAAUCCAACAAUUUAUUAAUGCUAAUGGUUUGGGUCGUUACAUUUAGUAUCAGAACCGAUUCGCCGGUCGGAAGUGUGAGAUGGGUCUCACAUGUGAUGCACCGAUAGUUCCACAUCGUACGGGACUAGAAUUAUGCAUGAAAAUAUAAGGAUCUGAAGUUCUAACAAUAACAACUAGGCUUAAGCAUUUGCAGCCGAUGGUUUGAGUCCAACGAAUUAUUAGUGUUGUUGGGUCAGAUUGUUACACUCCCACCUUGUGAAGAAAAACAGAACUCCAAUCGCAGUACCGAUA
rnacentral:lncRNA from 1 species